rnacentral:rRNA from 1 species
AUUGAACGCUGGCGGCAGGCCUAACACAUGCAAGUCGAACGAGUGGCGGACGGGUGAGUAAUGUCUGGGAAAUUGCCUGAUGGAGGGGGAUAACUAAUGGAAAAGGUAGCUAAUAACGCAUACCAUCGGCUCUGCCUAGAUGGGAGUAGCUAGUAGGUGGGGUAAAGGCUCACCUAGGCGACGAUCCCUAGCUGGUCUGAGAGGAUGACCAGCCACACUGGAACUGAGACACGGUCCAGACUCCUACGGGAGGCAGCAGGGGGGAAUAUUGCACAAUGGGCGCAAGCCUGAUGCAGCCAUGCCGCGUGUAUGACGAAGGCCUUCGGGUUGUAAAGUACUUUCAGCGGGGAGGCGUUACCCGCAGAAGAAGCACCGGCUAACUCCGUGCCAGCAGCCGCGGUAAUAC